AUACUACCUGGCAGGGGAGAUACCUCCAUCACGAAGGUGGAUUUCCCAGGGCGAGGCUUAUCCAUUGCACUCCGGGUGUGCUGACCCUGCGAUUUCCCCAAAUGCGGGAAACUCAGCUGCAUAAUUUGUGGUAGUGGGGGACUGCGUUUGCGCUCUCUCCUG